ensembl:lncRNA
GUUAAAGUUAACUGACUGUGAUGUGUCCAGAGACUGUGAUGUGUCCAGAGACUGCUGCAGAGAUCCUCAGACACUUGGUCCUGGCUCUACUGCCAAUCACAACCAGGUGUCCUUUUCACUCCAUACGGACAGAUUCCUGUUGAUCUGGGAUAUUUUUAUUACAGAUCAUUUGGUUCCACAGUGCACUGAUUGACCAGGAGACUGUUAAACUGAAUAUGUCUUCAGUUAGUUCAUAUGUGAUUCCACAGUGCCGCCUCAGACCCAUACAGGGGCCAGAUGCUGUUGUAACUAGCCAUGCUGUUGUAGGGGUCUGUCUAACCCAGCUGUAGUUAGUAGUGGUCAGUGUCUCCUCAGACCCAUACAGGGGCCAGAUUCUGUUGUAGGGGUCUGUCUAACCCAGCUGUAGUUAGUGGUCAGUGUCUCCUCAGACCCAUACAGGGGCCAGAUUCUGUUGUAGGAGUCUGUCUAACCCAGCUGUAGUUAGUGGUCAGUGUCUCCUCAGACCCAUACAGGGGCCAGAUUCUGUUGUAGGGGUCUGUCUAACCCAGCUGUAGUUAGUAGUGGUCAGUGUCUCCUCAGACCCAUACAGGGGCCAGAUUCUGUUGUAGGGGUCUGUCUAACCCAGCUGUAGUUAGUAGUGGUCAGUGUCUCCUCAGACCCAUUCAGAGGAAGGAAUGUUAUUGGCCCAUCAGACGACAGGGAAGGAUGUUUUUAAUGAUCAUAACAUGGUUAUAUCUUGCCGUAACUAAUCUGAAAUACAAUUUAACAUCAAUAAUAUCACGUUACUGUUCUGUGGACUCAUAAAGCAUCUCUAUAAUAGUCUGUAAUACUGUUCUGUGGACUCAUAAAUCAUCUCUAUAAUAGUCUGUAAUACUGUUCUAAUAUCGGACUCCGCUGAUCUGAAGACAGUCAAUGGUGUCACCUGUCACUGAUUUUAGAGAGCUGCAUAAUGUUCUGACUGGUUUCUCUGUCUAAAGAUGAUUUUAGAGAGCUGCAUAAUGUUCUGACUGGUUUCUCUGUCUAAAGAUGAUUUUAGAGAGCUGCAUAAUGUUCUGAUCUGUCUAAAGAUGCAUCUGACGACCUCCAGAGGGGGGCAGGAUGAUCUGAUCUGUCUAAAGACGCAUCUGACGACCUCCAGAGGGGGGCAGGAUGAUCUGACUGUCUUCACCGGGUCUAAAAAUGUGGACAAGAUCAGGACAAAGGAUGCAAGUUAGAACCAGGUAUAAACAGGGCUAGGAGCUCUUCCUCAUGAUUUCCUGCUCUGACAGGUUCUCCACUAGGACCAGUAGAGACACAGAACAGCAGUGGUCCUCUCCUCCAACCCUGCUCUGACAGGUUCUCCACUGCCUACCCCCUCUAUUCAACCUCCAGCUGCCUACCCCCUCUAUUCAACCUCCAGCUGCCUACCCCCUCUAUUCAACCUCCAGCUGAGUACCCCCUCUAUUCAACCUGAAUUCGUCACAACCCGACUCGUGGGAAGUGAGAAAAGAGCUCUUAUCAGACCAGGGCACAAAUAAUAAUAAUCAAUUUAACUCUUUAUUUAACCAUCUUACAUAUAAAACCCUAUUUGUUCAUUGAAAAUGGUGAAUAGCUCACCACAUAUUAAUGUUGGGUUGUAUUGGAGAGUCUGUCUUAAAUCAUUUUCCACACACAGUCUGUGUCUCUAUUUAGUUUUCAUGCUAAUGAGGGCCGAGAAUCCACUCUCACAUAGGUACAGUGGGGCAAAAAAAUUAAUACAGGUAACGAGUGGAGGACAGAGGAGCCUCUUAAAGAAGAAGUUACAGGUCUGUGAGAGCCAGAAAUCUUGCUUGUUUGUAGGUGACCAAAUACUUAUUUUCCACCAUAAUUUGCAAAUGAAUUCAUUAAAAAUCCUACAAUGUGAUUUUCUGGAUUUUUUUUCUAAUUUUGUCUGUCAUAGUUGAAGUGUACCUAUGAUGAAAAUUACAGGCCUCGUCUUUUUAAGUGGGAGAACUUGCACGAUUGGUGGCUGACUAAAUACUUUUUUGCCCCACUGUAUGUGCACAAAUAAUAUAAAAGGGCUUCAGUGUCUUAACAGCAGGAUUUGCCAAGGCAGGAUACUCUGAGCGCAGCCCUAUCCAGAAAUCUGGCAGUGGCUUCUGAUUAAAUUACAUUUUCACAGAACCGCUUGUUGCAAUUUCGAUGAGGCUCUCUUGUGCAGAUAUCGGUAAGUGGACUGGAGGCAGGGCAUGAAAGGGAUAACAAAUCCAGUUGUUUUUGUCAUCUGUUUCAGGAAAUGACCUGCGUAAUUGUGCACCCAACUCACUCAGGUGCUUCACUAUAUCACAUUUGACAUUGUUCGUAAGCUUGAGUUCAUUUGCACACAAAAAAUCAUACAAUGAUGGAAAGACCUGUGUGUUGUCCUUGUUAAUGCAGACAGAGAAGAGCUCCAACUUCUUAAUCAGCCUCAAUUUUGUCCCUGUUACGGAUACAGUUAUCCUGUGUGUGUGUGUAUCCUGUGUGUGUAUCCUGUGUGUGUUUCUUUUCUCUCCUUCUCCCCUCACAGGUGAACAUCAUCACUCCCCAAUCAGUCAACAAUCAAUCAUCAAUCAGAAUACACACCUCCUCCUAUUUCCUACCCUAUCACAGUUCCUUCCCCAUGGUUUAAAAACCCCAUCAGUUGUUUGCUCUGGAGCUCAAUCUCUCUGUAAAUGCCAUGUCUGUAGAUCUCUGUGUUUCACUCUCGCUUUGUGUCUUAACCUCUCUUUUUGUUUGAGCACCUCCAUAGCACUUUGUCAUCUCCUGUGAGUAUGGUGUUUGUUUGAUUGCUGGUGGGAAAAGGGGGAAACCAAGACAAGUCGCCCAGGGGCAUACACUACCCGUAGGUGAACUUUGUUAAAUACACUAGUUAGAACUGGGCGGACCACCCACUGUAUUUUUGGUUAGUUAGCUGUUGUUAAAGUAGGCUAGUCUAGCUUAGGGGUGUUUUUGUAUAUUUAUUGUUUCUUUCCUUGG